UACGUAGGGGGCAAGCGUUGUCCGGAAUCAUUGGGCGUAAAGAGCGUGUAGGCGCCAGAAAAGUCCGCUGUGAAAACUCGAGGCUCAACUUCGAGCUGUCGGUGGAAACUUUCUGGCUAGAGUCCGGAAGAGGAGAAUGGAAUUCCUGGGUGUAGCGGUGAAAUGCGCAGAUAUCAGGAGGAACACCAAUGGCGAAGGCAGCUCGCUGGGACGGUACUGACGCUGAGGCGCGAAAGCGUGGGGAGCAAACAGG
rnacentral:rRNA from 1 species